GAUGAACGCUAGCGGGAGGCCUAACACAUGCAAGCCGAGCGGUAUUGUUUCUUCGGAAAUGAGAGAGCGGCGUACGGGUGCGUAACACGUGUGCAACCUGCCUUUAUCUGGGGGAUAGCCUUUCGAAAGGAAGAUUAAUACUCCAUAACAUAUUGAACGGCAUCGUUUAAUGUUGAAAGCUCCGGCGGAUAGAGAUGGGCACGCGCAAGAUUAGUUAGUUGGUGAGGUAACGGCUCACCAAGGCGAUGAUCUUUAGGGGGCCUGAGAGGGUGAUCCCCCACACUGGUACUGAGACACGGACCAGACUCCUACGGGAGGCAGCAGUGAGGAAUAUUGGUCAAUGGGUGCAAGCCUGAACCAGCCAUCCCGCGUGAAGGACGACUGCCCUAUGGGUUGUAAACUUCUUUUGUAUAGGGAUAAACCUACCCUCGAGAGGGUAGCUGAAGGUACUAUACGAAUAAGCACCGGCUAACUCCGUGCCAGCCGCCGCAGUAAGAC
rnacentral:rRNA from 1 species